UAAGUUUACUACUGACAGCUUGGAUGCCUGCUGAGUUCUGAGCAGCAGAACCUGCCACCUGUGACACCCAGUGUAUUCUCUGAAGGUAUUCUCCUCACUGUUAAUGGUCUUCAAUAGAGAACCUCUCAAAACAAGAGCAGGCAAAACAGCACCCAUCAGAAAUCGUGUACGUUUGGUUCGAAAGCAGAAGCUCGGGAACAGAGGUCUUUUGUCUCUGAUGCUGUCUAAACCUGAUGACAUGUGCAAGGUACAGGCUAAUGUAGGUAUUAAUCUUUCAAUUUGUUGGUAAAUAACAUUAAAUGCUAUUCUGGUUCCCAUUCCCCUUCUGUUUAUUCAUGUUUUCAUUUUUCAAAGUGCUCUUUUUCUGUUCUAAAGCACUCAAAUAAUUAAUUUCAGCCUCUAGUUACUUGUUUUUCUAAUUUCUUGUGGUUCUCAGACAUGGAACCAUAUAUUCUCACCUUCCAGAAACUUUUCCUUCUUUGCUUCAAUUGGCAAAAAAGUUUAAUUUUCAAAUUAUAAUUUUUGUUGCUAGAAUACAUGUUUGAAACUUGGAUUUUGACUGUUUCGUACCUGGUACCUUUCCUGCUCUGUAAUUGUAUUUGGCAGUGAAAUGUGUACACUAUCCGUGGUUCUGUCAGUAUUUCUUUAAACACAUUCCAUGUUGAUUUCCUUUCCUAAAUUUUCCCUUUAGUAUAUUUCUGUGGAAAUAAGCAAUGUAUUUUUUUCUUCCUUUUCACAUGCAUACAUAUCUAGGUGUAAGCUGCAUAAAAGCACAAUCAUAAUCAUUCACCACAGUGCUAAUUAAGGUCUCAUUUUAUGUACUGGCUCAUGUCCCACAGCAGAGGGGUUGUUCUGAGCAGUAGCACCUCAUGUCACCUUUCCCUGACCAUCUUCUAAAGCAAUGCUCAACCAGCUAAGCCAGGACACCCAAAGGCACUUGUUCUUCACCAAAUUUUAUGUUCUCCUUCCAGUGACUUCCAGUCACCUGCAGCGUUGGAAUUGUUCCUAUUGCAGCUUCUUGCUGCUGCUCUCAGCCUUGCAGUGAAUUUGGAAUUUUACCUGUGAGGUUUCUACAUCAAUGUCUGCAUGAAGACCUUGAGACCCCCCUGAAGCUCUCUUUGAAAAACAAGAAGAAGAAAAACAUACACCUGAAUGAAUAUUUAAUAGCUGGGUAGACAGGGCCCAGGAGAUGAGACCUGGAGGUUCAAGUUGCAAUUGGGUCUGCUUUUGAGGAGCGCCUUGAACCCGAACUUCUGACAGCUGGAUGAAAGAUGCAGUCAACAGACUUGUGCAGUCUGUCUUGAAGCUGCUUCUCUUUUUUUGGAAUAAAAAUAAAGAUUAUUAUUACAAAAUAUGACUGAGUUAAUGGUCACUGGUGCCAUCACUAAUUUAUCCAUCUCACUUUCUUUGAAAGCUUUAUUCAAAUCGAUAUUUUUCUGUGAAAGAUUUUGCUUUCUCCAAGACAGAUUAAACUGGGAAUACUGGAGAGUCUAAAAAUUCCCCAACCCAUGCAAUUCCAUUGAGCCAUCUUCUUUUAACCUUCUUAGGUGAACAUCUGCACUUAGCAUCAGAAAACAUUUUGCUUUCCUGUAGGGUUGCAGACAUUUACCCAUCCCUGACUUGAAAUAUAGAUUUUACUCAUAUAUUCAGACCCACAGCUGAUGUUGAACUAAAUUCCUUGAUCUAGC
ensembl:lncRNA